rnacentral:lncRNA from 1 species
GAAGCCUAACGGAGGAUUAACCUUCAAUUUCGAUGGAUUGCCGGUUCGAAACUUUCUCUACAUCUUCCAUGGAAAAAUAGGUUUUCUUCUUGUUUGGGUUUUGUGAAUUUCUCUGGAUUUGUGAAAUUGUUCUUGUGAGUAGUGAUAAGAUUGUGGAUUCAUGUUGUUUAAUGAUGUGUCUUGUUAUCUUGUUAUCUCGAUUGCCCGUUUGAGCGGAUAAUUGUGGGUGUUGCAAGUGGUUUUAGGAUGUUGAG